ACGAACGCUGGCGGCGUGCCUAAUACAUGCAAGUAGAACGCUGAAGAGAGGAGCUUGCUCUUCUUGGAUGAGUUGCGAACGGGUGAGUAACGCGUAGGUAACCUGCCUUGUAGCGGGGGAUAACUAUUGGAAACGAUAGCUAAUACCGCAUAACAAUGGAUGACACAUGUCAUUUAUUUGAAAGGGGCAAUUGCUCCACUACAAGAUGGACCUGCGUUGUAUUAGCUAGUAGGUGAGGUAACGGCUCACCUAGGCGACGAUACAUAGCCGACCUGAGAGGGUGAUCGGCCACACUGGGACUGAGACACGGCCCAGACUCCUACGGGAGGCAGCAGUAGGGAAUCUUCGGCAAUGGGGGCAACCCUGACCGAGCAACGCCGCGUGAGUGAAGAAGGUUUUCGGAUCGUAAAGCUCUGUUGUAAGUCAAGAACGAGUGUGAGAGUGGAAAAUUCACACUGUGACGGUAGCUUACCAGAAAGGGACGGCUAACUACGUGCCAGCAGCCGCGGUAAUACGUAGGUCCCGAGCGUUGUCCGGAUUUAUUGGGCGUAAAGCGAGCGCAGGCGGUUUGAUAAGUCUGAAGUUAAAGGCUGUGGCUCAACCAUAGUUCGCUUUGGAAACUGUCAAACUUGAGUGCAGAAGGGGAGAGUGGAAUUCCAUGUGUAGCGGUGAAAUGCGUAGAUAUAUGGAGGAACACCGGUGGCGAAAGCGGCUCUCUGGUCUGUAACUGACGCUGAGGCUCGAAAGCGUGGGGAGCGAACAGGAUUAGAUACCCUGGUAGUCCACGCCGUAAACGAUGAGUGCUAGGUGUUGGAUCCUUUCCGGGAUUCAGUGCCGCAGCUAACGCAUUAAGCACUCCGCCUGGGGAGUACGACCGCAAGGUUGAAACUCAAAGGAAUUGACGGGGGCACGCACAAGCGGUGGAGCAUGUGGUUUAAUUCGAAGCAACGCGAAGAACCUUACCAGGUCUUGACAUCCGACUAACGAGAUAGAGAUAUGUCAGGUGCCCUUCGGGGAAAGUCGAGACAGGUGGUGCAUGGUUGUCGUCAGCUCGUGUCGUGAGAUGUUGGGUUAAGUCCCGCAACGAGCGCAACCCCUAUUGUUAGUUGCCAUCAUUCAGUUGGGCACUCUAGCGAGACUGCCGGUAAUAAACCGGAGGAAGGUGGGGAUGACGUCAAAUCAUCAUGCCCCUUAUGACCUGGGCUACACACGUGCUACAAUGGUUGGUACAACGAGUUGCGAGUCGGUGACGGCAAGCUAAUCUCUUAAAGCCAAUCUCAGUUCGGAUUGUAGGCUGCAACUCGCCUACAUGAAGUCGGAAUCGCUAGUAAUCGCGGAUCAGCACGCCGCGGUGAAUACGUUCCCGGGCCUUGUACACACCGCCCGUCACACCACGAGAGUUUGUAACACCCGAAGUCGGUGAGGUAACCUUUUGGAGCCAGCCGCCUAAGGUGGGAUAGAUGAUUGGGGUG
rnacentral:rRNA from 1 species